rnacentral:misc_RNA from 1 species
GGUGGUGGAAAGAAGCUUCUAAAGGUAUUCAGAUCGAUUGACAUGCAGAUUAGGCUUGUUCUUGUAGCAUUUUUAAUGGAUUUGAGAAAUGGACAAUUUGGAUUUUGUGUAGUUGGCAAUUCUUUUCCUGUAACAAGUGAUUUUCAGUAUUUUAUCUUGCAACCAGUAGUCAUCGGUGCAUAAAAAAUGGAAGUUCAUUAUUGAUUUUAGCAAUAAUCUCUAGAGCAUCUGGAGGUUAUUUUCUUGCGAAUUGGGGAUAUAUUUUAGCAACCGUGAGGGUCCAUUCAUUUGCUGAGGAUUUUAAC